rnacentral:rRNA from 1 species
UACGGAGGGAGCUAGCGUUGUUCGGAAUUACUGGGCGUAAAGCGCGCGUAGGCGGCUGUUCAAGUCAGAGGUGAAAGCCCGGGGCUCAACUCCAGAACUGCCUUUGAGACUGCAUCGCUUGAAUCCAGGAGAGGUGAGUGGAAUUCCGAGUGUAGAGGUGAAAUUCGUAGAUAUUCGGAAGAACACCAGUGGCGAAGGCGGCUCACUGGACUGGUAUUGACGCUGAGGUGCGAAAGCGUGGGGAGCAAACAGG